rnacentral:lncRNA from 1 species
AUGGACCCCAGAAACACCCUGGAGACACCCCAAGCAGGCCCCAGAGACACCCCAAACGGGCCCCAGAGACACCCUGGGGAGACCCCAAACAGGUCCCAGAGAUGUCCCGGAGAGACCCUACUGCAUCCCCAGAGAUAUCCCAGAGAGACCCCGGAAGGGCCCCUGAGACCUCCUGGAGACAGCCCAAACGGGCCCCAGAAACACCCUGGAGACACCCCAAAUGGGCCCCAGAGAUGCCCUGGAGAGACCCCGCUGCAUCCCCAGAGACAUCCUGGAGAAACCCCAGAAGGGCCCCCGAGACCUCCCAGAGACAGCCCAAACGGGCCCCAGAAACACCCUGGAGAGAUCCCAAAUGGGCCCCAGAGACACCCCAAGUGGGCCCCAGAGACACCCUGGAGAGACCCCAUUGCAUCCCUGAAGACAUCCCAGAGAGACCCCAGAAGGGCCCCCGAGACCUCCCGGAGAGACCCCAAAUGGACCCCAGAGACACCCCAAACAGGCCCCAGAGAUGCCCUGGAGAGACCCUGCUGCGUCUCCAGAGACAUCCCGGAGAGACCCUGGAAGGGCCCCCGAGACAGCCCAAACGGGCUCCAGAGAUGCCCUGGGGAGACCCCACUGCAUCUCCUGGGACAGCCCAGAGAGACCCCGCUGCACCCCCAAAGACACCCUGGAGAGACCCCAGAAGGGCCCCAGAGACACUUUGCAGAGACCGCUCUGCAUCCCCUGAGACCUCCCAGAGAGACCCCAAAUGGGCCCCGGAGACACCCUGCACAGACCCUGCUGCAUCCCCCGGGUCGCUGCAGAGAGACCCCACUGAGAUUCGGCAGGGCCUCAGGAGACACCCCAGAGAGACCCUCAAAAGGGCCCCGCAGACACCCCAGAGAGACCCUGCUGCAUCUCCUAGGACAUCCUGGAGAGACCCCGCUGAAUCCCUGGAGACAACCUGGAGACACCCCACAUGGGCCCCAGAGACACCCUGGGAUGUUCCCAGAUGGCCCCUCACACACCCUACGGAGACCCCACGCAGUCCCCUGCGCCCCCAGCGUACCCCAGAGUGAGCCCGCUGGAUCCCUGCUUUCCCUGAGGUGCUCCAUGGUGGCCUCGUACGUGUCCCCUGCAUCCCAAGAGGCCCCACAURAG